rnacentral:rRNA from 1 species
UACGUAGGGGACGAGCGUUGUCCGGAAUUACUGGGCGUAAAGCGCGCGUAGGCGGCUUUGCAAGUCGGGUGUGAAAUCCCCAGGCUUAACCUGGGAACUGCAUUCGAGACUGCAUUGCUAGAGUAUGGGAGAGGGAAGUGGAAUUUCCGGUGUAGCGGUGAAAUGCGUAGAUAUCGGAAGGAACAUCAGUGGCGAAAGCGACUUCCUGGACCAAUACUGACGCUCAUGUGCGAAAGCGUGGGGAGCAAACAGG